CAGAUGAUGUCUACUCUAACUUUAGCAUCUUUCUUUUCAACCAAAGCAGAAAGUGCUAUCAAGUUGGGGUAAAUGUUUGCUG
rnacentral:pre_miRNA from 1 species